rnacentral:rRNA from 1 species
UACGAGGGGGGCGAGCGUUGUUCGGAAUUAUUGGGCGUAAAGGGUGCGUAGGCGGUUUGGUAAGUCUUAUGUGAAAUCUAUGGGCUCAACUCAUAGUCUGCAUGAGAAACUGCCGGGCUUGAGUAUGGGAGAGGUGAGCGGAAUUCCUGGUGUAGCGGUGAAAUGCGUAGAUAUCAGGAGGAACACCUGUGGCGAAAGCGGCUCACUGGACCAUAACUGACGCUGAUGCACGAAAGCUAGGGGAGCAAACAGG